GAAAAUGAUGAUAGGUAUCCUGCACAAGCACGAAGCAGAGGACGAUAAACUGAUGAAGACGAAGUCCCAACAAUCUGGGACAGAGCUUUCUGUACAAAAGGUUGUUUCCACAGAGAUAAAUCUUCAUCAAUUGGGUCACUACUGUUGAUACUAGGACGAAGUGCUGGAAGCAAUGCUUGAACUAGGGGCAAUGCCAACCAAAAAUCAGAAGCAUUAUCAGCCAACUUGCUGCAGAGCAGGGGCUGGGAUACACAAGCAUACAGAACAUGUAAAAUCCCUUCUUCCACUAGGCCAAUAUCUAAGACAUUACUGAA
rnacentral:misc_RNA from 1 species